CAAGUAAGAAUUCGGAACUGCUGUCAGAAAUUACAUUAUAAUAAUUAUCAUCAAUAUCAUUUUCUUUAUCACUAUUAUCAUUGUGAUCAUUGUUGUCAGAAUUACAAAUACACCUCUGUUCCAUAAUUUUGCUAAAUGGAAAUUUAAAAUACAUACACUUACAGAGUCAAGCAUAUUUUUCAUGUACAAAGAGGAUUAAUGAAGAGAUGAUGGGGAAGAAAGUGUAAAUCUAUAGAAUGUAUUCAUGUUUUGAGGUAUAAUGUGAAAAUUUAGCUUUGAAAGAAAGCAAUAAAAUUUGCGUUUUGUAAUUUAUACCUAGUUCGACACCCUCUGGGCCAGGACAAGGAACAGAUGCUGUCAAUACAAAUUGCAUCACUUUCAAAUUUAACAUAUUAUCAUCACAGAAUGCUACUUUUUUCAGUCUGAACUUGUAUCCUAGGUAUAUGAAAUAUUAUCUGUUCAUAGAACUUUUUCCCAAUUUGAAUAUAAAUGUACACCAGACCUGUGAUGGAUGAUUAUAGACCUCAUUUUCCUUCUCAGAAAAAAAUAAUUAGUAUUUCUCUUUUGCAAAAAGCAGGAACCAUUCAAAAUUUUACCUAAGAUAGGCAAACUUGUGAUUUAUAAUGUAUAUGUGUUUGUGUAUAAUAUUGAAUUACAGUAGAUUAAGCAGAGUAGUGUGCAUGCAUUUUACACAGCAUUUAAUUGAUAUUCAAAAUAUUUCUUAGAUGAAUGAAUGAAUGCACUCUGAAAGCAUUAGUCUACUUCAGCAGUUUUUGUUAGCAAUUAAGAGAUUGUUCUCCCUGAAGACAUUUAUACUUAAUGUAUAUUUUAAAAAUAGUAUGACACAUUUUUUCAAAUGAAAAGUGUUGUAUGUAUGUGUACAAUUACUUUUUUUAUUAGCUUCCUAAAUAUGAUUCUGCCCAAUAUUUAAUUGCUUCAGUCUUGUAUUCAAAACAUGAAUGAAACAUUCUAAUUUGACAUCCAGGUUUUCAAAAUAACUAAUAGGAAACUUGAAGUAAAGCAACACCUCUCUAAGCUUUGAAUCAUUUUCUACCAAUACUAUUUUCUUAAAAUUAUGUAUUUUAAAAAAUUAAUGGACAGGUAAACAUGGAGCUAAAAUGUUCCCUUUGGAUUUGCAGGCAAUUAUUUCGACUUGCAUCAUGAGAAAAUAAAACACCUUCACACAUGAAAAUGAUUAAGUUUGAAACAAUUGAAAUUUAUGAAGUAUACAUUAAAAAUAAAUGUUCUCGUUCCUCAGAGAACAAAACAUUUUGUUGGUUCCUGGAGUUUCUCUUUCUAAAUUAAGGUUGCUACCAUUUAACUGUCUCAUUUAUUCACUUACAUAUGGGAUUCUUUGAGAAAUCUAAGAUUCACUGAUGUCUUAACAAAUACAGGUGGGUACAUUAUGGAUGAGCGCACAUGUUGAAAUCUAAUAUAGUUUCACUUGGAACUUAUAUUAGAUUCAUUUAGUUUUGGAUACCAAAAAAUAAAUCUUUUAAUUCAUGUCUCUUCAUUUCCCCCAUAUAUUUGCCCCUUCUAUAUAUGACUGACAUAGAAGAUGAAGCUGAAAAUUUACAAUUUCAAGAUAUUCUUAGAAGAUAUCUGGUCUACUUUUUUGAGCUGUUAACAUUUUUCUGAGAGUUAACUUUUCUUGGGAAGAAAUGAAGUGGAAAUAUGGUUGCUGCCUAAGAAGUAAUAAUAGGAGAUACAGGAAGCAGUUUGAAAUGGAAUAGAAACAACUUGUGAUAGAGGACAGAAGCCAUAUCAGAAGUCACGGAAUUAAUUAUGUGAGUCUGGGAUCAGUGAGAGAUGAAAAUUGAGAAGAAAGAAAACUGUAAGACUCUGUGACUUGAAAAAUCCAGGAGAGACAGAAAAUUCCCUGUGUUAGAACAACUUGAAUGAAAAGAAGAAUAAACAGGUGUCCAACAAUAACAUUUCCAAGAUAGGAAGAAAGCGAGGGUUCAAAACGGAGUUAUAUAUAAUGUGUCUCACCAAUCACUGAAGGGGACAAGUCAUCCAUGUAAGAAAUUAACUCAACCCAGGGGAGAGGACAUAUUCCUGUAAUCUCAGCUACUCAGGAACCUGAAGCAGGAGGAUAAUUUCAGGGAAGGAAUUGAGACCAGCAUGGGCAACAUAGCAAGAUGUAAAAAAACAAAACAAAACACAAUUUUUUAAUGUUAACUAGGUGUGGUGGCAUGUUCCUGUAGUCCCAGCUACUCAGGAGCAUGAGGCAGGAAGCUUGCUUGAGCCCCAAAGUUCAAGGGUGCAGUGAGCUAUGGUUGCACUUCUGCAUUCCAGCCUAGGUGACAGAGAAAGAUCCCCUCUCAAAAAACUUAAUUUAUUGUCAAAUAUACUUUUGCAUAACUGUGUGCAAAUUAUGUAGCUGUAAAAAUAAGGCUAUGAUGUAAUUAUGCCCUGAAACUGUUUGUUUGUUGCUGUUUUUGGUUUUGUUUUAUUUUUGCUUGGUAUUGGUGAUGUAUGGAGUAAUGUGUUCACUGGUCUUUGAGGUAUAAUCAUACCUUUGCCAGAUGGAGAACAGUUGAGCAGUAUAUUCCAGGAAUAGGGAAUAUUAUGUCUAAAACAUUACAUAGUCAAGGAAUUACAGCAAAGUUUUGUUUAUAAAGAGGAGAGGAAAAAAAAAGAAUGAUACAAGGAAUAUAAAUGGGGCGGGCUCUGUAUGUACGCAUUUUUAGAAUAUAAAAUGUUUUUCUAUAGAAAAUAAAGAAACCAUGAUAUGAAUAUAAUAUGUGGGGAGCAUAAACAUGUCUGCAGUUUAUUAAUAUUUAUUUUUAAUAAACAUUUCUUUGAAUGCAUAUUAAGUGUGUGUACUAUAAUGACUUACAUCGAUUUACAAAGAUGCCAGCCUCCAUUUGACAGUAGAUCCCAAGGGGCCCAAUCUAAGCUCUAUCCCCUCUUGUAGUUAGGGAACUACGUUAAUUUUUCAGGGACCUGCUGGGGCUCCUUCCCACAGCAGAGCAUUUCCACACAGCCACAGUACCAUUCUUGGGUUUUCUCCAAGUCCAUCUCAGCCAAAAAUCCGUGUCAAUCAUCAAGUAAGUCUUCAUGAUACAGUACAUCUUGGCUUAGAGCAUCCUUUAGUGCAGAGAUGGCUACAGUGGUUAGAGGAUCAGGAAAUAAAACAGUUAGUAUACUUAGAAUUCCUGGUAAACCUUCUGAAGAACAGGUACAAAAAAAAAAAAACCCAGACUGAAAGGUAAGAUUAAGAUAACAGAUAGGAGGCAAGACUAGCUUGCAGCUCCCACUCAGACAGAGCAGGAUGUGGAGAGUAACAUUGUGAA
rnacentral:lncRNA from 1 species